rnacentral:rRNA from 1 species
AUUGAACGCUGGCGGCAGGCCUAACACAUGCAAGUCGAACGAGUGGCGGACGGGAGAGUAAUGUCUGGGACACUGCCUGAUGGAGGGGGAUAACUACUGGAAACGGUAGCUAAUACCGCAUACCAUCAGAGUUGCCCAGAUGGGAUUAGCUAGUAGGUGGGGUAACGGCUAACCUAGGCGACGAUCCCGAGCUGGUCGGAGAGGAUGACCAGCAACACUGGAACGGAGACACGGCCCAGACUCCUACGGGAGGCAGCAGUGGGGAAUAUUGCACAAUGGGCGAAAGCCUGAUGCAGCCAUGCCGGGUGUAUGAAGAAGGCCUCCGGGUUGUAAAGUACUUUCAGCGGGGAGGCGUUACCCGCCGAAGAAGCACCGGCUAACUCCGUGCCAGCAGCCGCGGUAAUAC